rnacentral:lncRNA from 1 species
CGGGAAAUGAUGUAAACCCGAAUCAUUUCUAGUCGUGCCUGUAAACAAAUGAUUAAUUGAUAAAAUGUUGUGAUGCUCGCAGUCUGACAAUCAGAAUGCGGAAACAAAACAAAAGAGAAAAAAAAAAAAAAGAGAGGAAAAAAAAAAGGAAAAAAAAUGUAGGGAGAGAGAGAAAGGAAAAAAGGAAAAGAAAAAAAAAAAAGUUGUAAAAUGUUAUGACCUCAACUGGACAUCCUCAUCCAAUCAACUCAUAAACGCCCAUCGUGUCAAAAACGGAGCUGGUACAACCGAACGGUAAGGAGCGGGCUCCUUGGCCAGCCCGUGGGCCUUCAGAAGCGCUGCACGGGGAAAUGUUCCCCACAUCUGCUAAAGCUGGGCUUUUCCGAGCAGCGCUGCUCGCGGCAGCGCAGCAGCCGCCCUCCCAGCCCCGCUUUCUGUGGCCCUGUACCACCUCGCCGUGCUCGGAGCCCGUUUUCUUCCACGCAAUUCCGCGUUAGAGGCGCACAUCCAGAUCGUGAACUUCAUGAGUCUUAACCCUUUCUGUGCGCGGCUGAAAAAUCCGGGCAGGGGCCGCUGGCGGCUGGGGAAGGGCGCGGUGGGAGCGAGCGGCAGUGCCGAGCGGAGCGGCUUGCAAAUGAACAUGACUCCGAGCUGAAGUGCAAAUCCGUGGGCACGCGUUCACCUUCGCUCAGUGCGGGAGAACGGCGUGUGCCUCCCCUCGGCCGCCCGCUGCCCACCGACGCCCGUUCCUCCCCUGCGCGGUUUCUACGUGGAGAUAAGAAAGGCAGUGCCCACGUCCUUGAACCGGUGCCACCGGCCCUGCCCGCCCCGCGGCUCUGCUCCCCGCUCUCGGCUGUCGGAUCCAAGAGAUGCCUCCUCGUGCUUCCUCGCAGGGCAGAGGACUGCUUCCCCGACCCAGAGCGGCACCGUUUCGAAGCUGCGGGGGCACAUAGAGGUGCUCGCUGCAUCACCCGAGGAGUUCAGCGUUGGGAACUCAUUCCCUGGCUCCAUACCGAGCGCUCCACGUACACAGAAAGGAGGUUCGCCCCAGUCUGUACCAACCCGUAUGUGUGCGGCAGGGCCUCCUCGCCGUGCGCCCGCUGCCAGAGGAGUAACAGAGGAGACUGAAAUGCAAAAGAAAGGCGAGAGCGAGAUGGCCAAAGCCGGAUAGUAAAAAUAAAAAAAGAAAAUGAAAAAAAAAAUAUAUAUAU